GGGCAGCGCGCAAUGGAAAAUCCAAUAGCAUAAAAUAUCGCGCGAUAUAUCCGGGCAAUAUCAGACAAGUGAAGAAAACCCGUUAGAACGCGGCCGAGUGUGUUCCGGCGCGUCUGAAGUUAGGCGUCCUUGACGCGGUAGAGAGAGGUCGCGCGACAAUCGCGCGCUACUUAGCGUCUCAAUAUCGCGCGCCAUAAGAGUCUCCGACGUGAAGACGAGCGGUCGCGUCACGUCGCGCGCCUUUUCCGUCGUUUCCGAAAUAAUCGAAGCGGUCGUGAGAUUUCGCACGUUCGAUCGCCGUGAGCUCCGAAACGCAGCUUGCGAUUCUCUCGGAAAGAGACCUGAGACGGAGUUUGCGAGCGAGUGCGGUGGGUGUUUUGCGGUACCGGAGGAUCCGGUUCGGGCCGAGCAGAAUCGUCUCGAAGAUCUGAAUAUAGUGACAUGUGGCCGGCUGUGAAUUUCGCUAAGUUCGGUUCGAGUACGGUUCGAAUCGGAGAUGCAAUCAUGUAUGUUCUUGCAUGUUAUGCAAUUAUGAGCUGUUGAGCGAACUGUAAUGGUGCGAGUCGGAUUUCUUCUUAUUCUGAGAAGCAAGAGUUCGCGGCAACACUUGAUGUUCAGUAAUUCGUUAUAUCUGUUACAUUUUUAUUUUCGUUAUCAAUAUUCAUCACACAAAAAUUGUUUUUACCUAAAUAAAGAUCCGAUAAUAUCUCUCGCUGCGUUUUAACGACUCGUUAUUAGCGACUUGAUAUCACUAUUUUGUUCAACGGUUCCAUUUUCCGUCACGAUUGCCAGAAUACGAUCGAAUGAAGUUCGAUCCUGAAACUUCGCAAAGUGAAUAGCGAGGCAGUCACGCGUCACGGAAUUGCGCCACGUGCAAAAUCGCGCUAAUUUCGCUCGUAGUUAAUAAAUAAAUUUCUCGAUCGGUUGCGGUUUGUAGUCUUUUUCUCUCUUUAUCUAUGGAAAUAACAUUUCUCGACAGUCACGUUAAUACGUAUUCGCGCUCGUAUUGAUAGAAUUUAUCGGUCAUCGUGAACCCGGUUGUUUACGUGUACGUUGUGAUCGCGCUAGUUAGACAGGAAUUUUUCGUCGAACCAAAUUCGCCGGAUAUACGCAUUUCGAAAUUAAUUUUCACGAUGAGAUCGCGGAACGGUCUCUAUAGAAAUUCUGCAAAGCCAUUUAGCGUGAAAAUAUCAUGCAUAUCAUAUAUUUUAGGUCAAUUCUCGUGCAACUGUGAUGCAUUUUCGCGAUUGAUUUUCAGUUCGUGACGCGCGAUAUAUAUUCCUGAAAUGUUUGAAUUUAUCGUAUUAAGACAGAUCUUUGUUAAACAAACAUGCACUCGGUAAAUCCCGAUUUUUCGGAAAUCAUCGUAAGGUCGAAAUCAAAGUCGUAGGUUUCGUUUCGAGAUAAACCCAACGUUUUUUAUCGAUGCCGCCGUUAAUUCGCGAAACGCCGUUGAAACGUGAAUAUUAAUCGCGUCGCGAUAAAGAAUAACGAAGCGAAGUGAAGUGAAGUGACGUGUAAUCAGCAUGGGACGACAGAGGCGUAGCACCGGAUACGAAGUGACGCAGUUUGGGAUGCUACGAUGCGGCUACGAGUUUCGUGCUGGGGCGGACCAGACUGGAACGUCGAUGGAUUUCCAACGUGAAGCGGUGAGUGUUGAAUCUUAACGCUCGCAGAGCGACAUAUGUUCUAAUGCAUGCCUAGUAAAUCACGUUGGUCUCUAACGAGCAGAAUAAAAGCAGCCACAUCCCGCUGCGGUGAAUUUCUUUAGGGAUCAAUUUAACCUUGGAUUGAUGAUGAUUUAACCUUGGAGCGAUUUAUGAAGCUCGAGAUCUCGCCGUUUCAAACAUCACGCUAUAUACCUUGAUGCAUUUCUCAUAUUAUCUCUCUCUC
rnacentral:lncRNA from 1 species